rnacentral:rRNA from 1 species
AUUGAACGCUGGCGGCAUGCCUUACACAUGCAAGUCGAACGGUAACAGGUCUUCGGAUGCUGACGAGUGGCGAACGGGUGAGUAAUACAUCGGAACGUGCCCGAUCGUGGGGGAUAACGGAGCGAAAGCUUUGCUAAUACCGCAUACGAUCUACGGAUGAAAGCAGGGGACCGCAAGGCCUUGCGCGGACGGAGCGGCCGAUGGCAGAUUAGGUAGUUGGUGGGAUAAAAGCUUACCAAGCCGACGAUCUGUAGCUGGUCUGAGAGGACGACCAGCCACACUGGGACUGAGACACGGCCCAGACUCCUACGGGAGGCAGCAGUGGGGAAUUUUGGACAAUGGGCGCAAGCCUGAUCCAGCCAUGCCGCGUGCAGGAUGAAGGCCUUCGGGUUGUAAACUGCUUUUGUACGGAACGAAAAGACUCUUUCUAAUAAAGAGGGUCCAUGACGGUACCGUAAGAAUAAGCACCGGCUAACUACGUA